rnacentral:rRNA from 1 species
UAGGGAAUCUUCCGCAAUGGGCGAAAGCCUGACGGAGCAACGCCGCGUGAGUGAUGAAGGUCUUCGGAUCGUAAAACUCUGUUAUUAGGGAAGAACAAAUGUGUAAGUAACUAUGCACGUCUUGACGGUACCUAAUCAGAAAGCCACGGCUAACUACGUGCCAGCAGCCGCGGUAAUACGUAGGUGGCAAGCGUUAUCCGGAAUUAUUGGGCGUAAAGCGCGCGUAGGCGGUUUUUUAAGUCUGAUGUGAAAGCCCACGGCUCAACCGUGGAGGGUCAUUGGAAACUGGAGAACUUGAGUGCAGAAGAGGAAAGGGGAAUUCCAUGUGUAGCGGUGAAAUGCGCAGAGAUAUGGAGGAACACCAGUGGCGAAGGCGACUUUCUGGUCUGUAACUGACGCUGAUGUGCGAAAGCGUGGGGAUCAAACAGG